rnacentral:misc_RNA from 1 species
AACGCACAUUGCGCCCCCUGGUAUUCCGGGGGGCAUGCCUGUCCGAGCGUCAUUGCACCCCUCAAGCCCGGCUUGUCCUUGGGUUAUGUCCCUCCGUUCCGGGGGGACAGGCCUCAAAUGCAAUGGCGGCACCGCGUCCGGUCCUCGAGCGUAUGGGGCUUUGUCACCCGCUUUGUAGGCCGGCCGGUCGCUUGCCCUUCAAGCACAACUUCUUAUGUUGACCUCGGAUCAGGUAGGGAUACCCGCUGAACUUAA